GGUCACCUGAAGAAAGGAUGAUGGGUGUCGGCAGGCGCCGGCCGGGCCUACAGAGCGGGUGACAAAGCCCCAUACGCUCGAGGACCGGACACGGUGCCGCCGCUGCCUUUCGGGCCCGUCCCCCGGGUAGGGGGACGGAGGCCCAACACACAAGCCGUGCUUGAGGGCAGCAAUGACGCUCGGACAGGCAUGCCCCCCGGAAUACCAGGGGGCGCAAUGUGCGUUCAAAGACUCGAUGAUUCACUGAAUUCUGCAAUUCACAUUACUUAUCGCAUUUCGCUGCGUUCUUCAUCGAUGCCGGAACCAAGAGAUCCGUUGUUGAAAGUUUUAACAAAUUUUUGCUAUUCGCUCAGACUGCAAACUUCAGACAGCGUUCAAAGGGGUCUUCGGCAGGCGCGGGCCCGGGGGCGGAGGCCCCCCGGCGGCCGUGAGGCGGGCCUGCCGAAGCAACAAGGUACAAUAAAACACGGGUGGGAGGUUGGACCCGGAGGGCCCUCACUCAGUA
rnacentral:misc_RNA from 1 species